CCCUGCGAGUACUAAACGUCAGUGUAGGCAAUAGCGAGGAGCUUAAAAGGCAGUGCCGCAGGUUAACAGGGACAAUUCCAAUAAUCAGAGCCUGACGAAUCCUUCCAAGGGCUCUCUUUUUGUCUUCUUGAUUGCUACAUCACCAGUCUCGUAGAAUUCUCUUUGUAUACAAAAGUGUAGUCAGUUUUCAGGCUCUCAUCAGUUUUUGCCAGUGCAAGCACCAAGACUUCAGUCUGUAUCAGCCAUCAUGAUUUUGUCCUCUUUUGCGGUGUAGCAAGUUUAAGGGACAAUUCCAGUAAAUCAAACACUGGCGGAGAUAUGUGUAACUCAGCAAGGGCUGCGACGGGUUGACAAAUUUUACACCCACCCACCCCCCACACAAUCAACCUUCUGUACCUCCGCCAAUGAAGUGAAAUCUGACCAAUCCAGAGAGCUCUAUCUAGGAGUUGUACAGUUUUGAGCCCUUCAAGGGAUCACUCUGUCCAUCCAUGCACACUUCUCACAUGAGGGUCUUGUGGCAUCCUCUGCCUGUACAUAAAUCUGGACUCUAUCCUGGAAUUAUACAUUUUUGUAUACUUGUAGUAUUCAGUCCAACACUUAUAGGAUUCCUACAAGUGUUAUGAUCUGAUGUAGGAUCUCUACAAGUUUCGCUACAAGGAAAUGGAUCAUAAUUACUACAGCAACACGAAGUCUCACAAAUUCAUCAUGUGACAUUUUGAAGUUCUGCUCAAUCUCAUAAAAAAAAUCUGAAGUUUUCUCAGUAUAGGAAAGGUUCUGGGAACCACCAGCAAUCAAUCUCGGUAAAAGGUUGGUCCUGUGGGUUCAGGCAGACCUGGUUCUCCUGGUAAGCAAGUUGUCAUGACAUAGUUGAGUUCGGUCCAGCUGAAGAGAUGCUAUCCUGGAGGAUCUCAAGCUGUAUCUUCCAUUCUGUCCAUAAUCUGGGCUCUCUAUAUAGGAGUUGUACAUUUUUCUACCCUUUUAAAACUCGGUCCAUCCAUGCAUGAUGCAUAGUUCUCACAUGACGGUCUUGUGUUAUCUUCUUCAGGCACAUAAAUCUGGUGUUCUUAUCUUGGCUUUGCUAGGCUUCAAAAUACUUGCAUUUAAAGCUUCAUGGUCAGUCAUGAAGACAUGGUGGUGUACUUGCUAGUUCAGGACUAAAUGUCCUAUCAUAGAUGGUUUUCGAGUUCCCUACGCUUCCACAACCUUUUCAUAUAGUUUACAUUUUUCAGGUUUGCAUUUCAUCGUGACAAGAUGUUCUCCAAGCCAAUCAUCCUUUUAUCUUAUGUUGCUAGCCUCAUCGGUACUUGGCAUUGCAUUUCCUACAUUGGGAUCUAGCAUACUCCGCCGGUACAUCAAUCCCAACCCCUUCUGGAGUUUCUCACUAAAAAAAGAAUGAGCUGUGAGAGGUAAGAAACCAAGGUUGAUAAAAAAGUUGAAUCAACCGUGAGAGAAAAAAAGGCAAGAAAAAUAGAAAAAAAAAGAGAGAGAAACUCCCAUUAAGCCACUUCAGUCUUCCAGUGAAUUCACCAUAUCUACCUAUCAUAGCACCUUCUCAUUUGCUAUUCCAAGUAGUGGAUUCUUUUGCCAUGCACAUUUAUAUUUUGCCUUGCACAUCUUUAAAGGAGGCAUAUUAGUGAUCAUGUUUAGCGUUUGUUGAAAUCCACCAACCAUUUUAUGCCUCGCUUUUAUUUCAUAUAUUAGAUCUUUUGUCGGCACCUCUUAAUCUUUUGUAGGGAAGAGAAAAGGAAUGAAAAAACAAAAGAAAGAAAAAGGAAAAGGGAAAGAAAAAGAAAAAGGAAAAAAGAAAAAAGAAAAAGGAAAAGGAAAGAAAAAGAAAAAUAAAAAGAAAGAAGUAAAGUAGAAUAAGAUAGAUGCCAUGUUUUCUCUCUCUAUCAAGCUCUUAAGUCUUACUUUAUAGCGAGAUGAGUCUUAUUGCUUAGGCUUAUACUUUGUUACUUUUCUUACCACCCAUUUAUUCAUCAUGUAGAGUUUAGCACUCAUAGCUAACCCUGUUCAUCCUAGUGGGGUGGUUUAUUUGCAUAUGAUUACUAGGACUUCAUGGUACAUAUCACUUGAGAUCCAUUGUGCAUACCUUGGCAAAUCCCUACUUCCCAUGCAACAUCGAAACCGAGGACAUCACACAUGCCUUGGGGUCACUCUGCGUUACAUGGGCCUAUCUUUUCCUUGUCGAGUCACUCCCAUCCUUUCACAUCAUUUUCUAAUGAUCGGAAACACGAGGCUUCUUGGUUCAUGAUGAAUGCUUACUUGACUAUGUGAUCUGUGCUUCCCAAUACAUGAAUUGAUUUGUACUACUGAAAGACUUUGUAUCAUGAAGCAUCCCUUUAGUAUAUGGUACUAGAGCUACAGCGUUGAAGGGACACUCAAGAGUCAACUUCCUCAAGAUCCAUGACACUGAUCACUUAUAUCAAGAUCAUUUCCCCCUGCCACACGAGCUGUGAGGAGGUCAAGAUGCCAUGGGUGGUCGUGCUGUUGGACGAUGAAAACCUACUCCCCCGCGCCUCCCUCGUCCACAAGCGCUGGCGUCGCAUCGUAUCCGACACCCUCUUUUUCCGCCGCUUUCGCACACACCACCGCUGCAGACCUCCCCUCCUCAGUUGCUUCGUCAGUGACCUGUGAGACUUCUCCUACACAUCUACCAUGGAGGCUCCAGAUCAUGUCCCCGCUGGGCGCGGCUCAUGGCUCUUGGAUCCAUGACACUGAUCACUUGAUUGGUUCCGGUGGACAACCAAAAGGUUCCCUGGAAUUGCCAAGGAGAACCGUUGAAGUUCUACUCUGGUGUGAGAACGCGCCUUGAAUCGCUCGCUAGUAGCCUGAGUUGCAAUUUCAUGGAGUGUCUGAAGCUUGAAGUUUUCCUCGUGUUUAUGCAAUUAUUAUGAUCUGGAAAACAAACUCCUUGUAGUAUCUGGUUUAGCUCAGUUUUAUGUCACAAGUUCUGCUUCUAUAGCAAAGAUUGACAAAUUAUUUGUAUAACAAUUGAACUAAAUUCUACGCGUUCUUCAUGGUCUAA